rnacentral:rRNA from 1 species
ACCUGCGGAGGGAUCAUUACAGAGUUGCAAAACUCCCUAAACCAUUGUGAACGUUACCUUUACCGUUGCUUCGGCGGGAGGCCCGGGUCCUGCCCGGCGCCCCUCGGCCCUCGCGGGCGCCCGCCGGAGGAAAACCAAACUAUUGCAUUGUAUGGCCUCUCUGAGUCUUCUGUACUGAAUAAGUCAAAACUUUCAACAACGGAUCUCUUGGUUCUGGCAUCGAUGAAGAACGCAGCGAAAUGCGAUAAGUAAUGUGAAUUGCAGAAUUCAGUGAAUCAUCGAAUCUUUGAACGCACAUUGCGCCCGCCAGUAUUCUGGCGGGCAUGCCUGUUCGAGCGUCAUUUCAACCAUCAAGCCCCAGGCUUGUGUUGGGGACCUGCGGCUGCCGCAGGCCCUGAAAACCAGUGGCGGGCUCGCUGUCACCCCGAGCGUAGUAGUUUACAUCUCGCUCAGGGCGUGCUGCGGGUUCCGGCCGUUAAAAGCCUUAUUUUACCCAAGGUUGACCUCGGAUCAGGUAGGAAGACCCGCUGAACUUAAGCAUAUCA